rnacentral:rRNA from 1 species
UACGAAGGGGGCUAGCGUUGUCCGGAAUCACUGGGCGUAAAGGGCGCGUAGGCGGCUCGGUAAGUCGGGUGUGAAAUCCUGCGGCUUAACCGCAGGACUGCCUUCUAAACUGUCGAGCUCGAGCACGGUAGAGGCAGAUGGAAUUCCCGGUGUAGCGGUGGAAUGCGUAGAGAUCGGGAAGAACAUCAGUGGCGAAGGCGGUCUGCUGGGCCGUUGCUGACGCUGAGGCGCGACAGCGUGGGGAGCAAACAGG